CUUGUAUUUGUGUAUAGGUGUAUAUAUAUGUUCAAUGCUUGUAUAAUUUCUAAUUUCAUUCUUUCAGAGAACCAAACAUAACAAUGUUUGUGUAUAUAUAUGUGCACACUGUCCGCCAGUAUACUAAUAUUUUGGGAUGGCUUCUUGAUGGCACUCUGUAUAUCAUUCUUUGAUCCGUCUUAAGACAAAUAAUAUCGCAUAGCACCAGCAUUGUUGAUUGAGAUUACAUAGGCUGUGAGAGUAUUCAUACAAAUUGGAUAUCAAGAUUGACAUCAAAAGGGUUCCAAAGAAGAAGACUCUGAUUGCAGCCAUGGAGGCUAGCUGCUGAUGUGAAGAACAAAUGGGAGAACAGUUCCUGGGGCAGGAAGCUAAUUGUGCAGAAGAGAAGGGCCUCACUCAACGAUUUUGAUAGGUUCAAGCUUAUGUUGGCAAAAAUUAAGAAGGCUGGUGUCAUUAGGCAGGAGCUUGGAAAGCUUCAAAAGGAGACCAAGCCUAAAAUAUGUCGUCUUUAGUGUGUGUGUUAAAUCUUUACCAAGAAGUUGCAUUGGGUCUUGCCUUUUGGGUUUAUUUUCAUUAAAUUACUAGAAGAAACACUUGAAAUUUUUAUUAUUUUAUUUUAUUUUAUUUGCUUCUCAGAUCCCAUUCAAACUCUAUUAUUAAUAUAUUGGGCCUUGUUUAAUGCAUGAUCUUCAAGCGGGCAUUGGUAGGCCCAUGGUUGUUGUCUGACAAGCCUGAUAUAAUUGUGAGGUUCUAGAUGCUCUAUGGGGGGAUAAUAUGAAAAUUAUUUAAUGUAUAUUUUAAUUCAGUGAUUAAACAAGUUGAUAUAUUAACGUA